GAGCGCUUUAAUGAAAUUGUCGGCAGUCCUUAUUACAUGGCACCAGAGGUUCUAAAGAGAAAUUAUGGGCCUGAAGUUGAUGUCUGGAGUGCAGGUGUUAUCUUAUACAUCCUUCUUUGUGGGGUGCCUCCAUUUUGGGCAAAAACUGAACAAGGUGUUGCCCAAGCAAUUCUUCGUUCUAACGUAGAUUUUAAAAGAGAACCAUGGCCAAAGGUUUCUGAUAGCGCUAAAGACCUUGUGAGGCAUAUGCUUGAGCCAGAUCCUAAGAAGAGGUUGACUGCUCAGCAAGUUCUUGUAAUAUGAUGAGUGUUGUUGCAUCAUUCUAUAAGGCAAUUUUAGCAGUUACAACAGGGAUAUCUGUGCCCUUCAACAACUUGGCUAUUAUAUACAAGCAACAGUUGGCGAGGGUUCUUUCUGCGACAGCGGCAGCACAAAAGGCUGCAGUCUCAGCGGAAAAGGCGCCUGUUGAUGCUGGUGGUUUCAAGCUAUGUCACUCUUGGAUCGUUCAGCUGGGAUCAAGACAAUGACAAGAUAAAGAGAACUUAUUGGUAACCAAGGACUUUGUGAAGAUAGCAAAUUUUGGCCUUGCUCGUGAAGUUCAUUCGAAGCCACCAUUCACAGAAUAGGUUUCAACACGCUGUUUACAAAUCUCAAGUACUCUCCAGAGUUGAAAUUGAUGAAAUGCAGUUCGAGUGGGCUG